AGCUCCAAUAGCGUAUAUUAAAGUUGUUGCUGUUAAAGCGCUCGUAGUCGAAUUUUGGGCCUGACUGGUUGGUCUCGUCGCAAGACGUGCACUGAUCUGGUUGGGCCUCUCCUUCUGUAAAACCAUCGUACCCUUAACUGGGCGCGGUGGGGAUGCAGGACUUUUACUUUGAAAAAAUUAGAGUGUUCAAAGCAGGCUUAUGCCUGAAUACAUUAGCAUGGAAUAAUAGAAUAGGACUUUGGUUCUAUUUUGUUGGUUUCUAGAACCGAGGUAAUGAUGAAUAGGAACAGUGGGGGGCAUUAGUAUUUAAUCGUCAGAGGUGAAAUUCUUGGAUUGAGGAAAGACUAACUUCUGCGAAAGCAUUUGCCAACGAUGUUUUCA
rnacentral:rRNA from 1 species